rnacentral:rRNA from 1 species
UACAGAGGGGGCAAGCGUUGUUCGGAAUUACUGGGCGUAAAGGGCGCGUAGGCGGCCUGCUAAGUCGAACGUGAAAUCCCUGGGCUCAACCCAGGAACUGCGUCCGAGACUGGUUGGCUUGAAUCCGGGAGAGGGAUGUGGAAUUCCAGGUGUAGCGGUGAAAUGCGUAGAUAUCUGGAGGAAUACCGGUGGCGAAGGCGGCAUCCUGGACCGGCAUUGACGCUGAGGAGCGAAAGCCAGGGGAGCAAACGGG